GGGGGCAUAUCGUCAAUUGGUAGACCGCUUGCUUUGCACGUAAGAAGCUGCCGGUUCGAGUCCGGCUGUCUCCAACA
rnacentral:tRNA from 1 species